rnacentral:rRNA from 1 species
GUUGUACCAGUUGUAGUUACCAUCAGCCACGAUUCCGAGGCCGCCGGGGACUGUCCAGUUCAUCGAGGCGGAAACCUGAUUGCUCCACGUCAUAUUCGUGGACUGGUUGGCGAUCGUGUACCAGGACUUUGACAUCCUGGUGCGGCCACCGGCGGUAAGUUCCACUAUGUCAUUGCGGUAGGUAAGACGAAGUCUCUCCAUGAGACCGACUGUCUGAAGCUUGUUCAAAGUGAAGUCAAGCGAGUGGAAAUCCUCAAGGAACUUGUCGGCGAGGAAGUUCUCCGCAUCAUAAUUGUCACCUUCGUAGUAUUUGCCCAUGUCGAAUGAGGAAGAACCCACAUAAGACGAUGACUUGGAAUAACUUGCCCUGGACAUCAGGAACACACUGAAGUUGGACUUCGCUAUAGGCGAGUUCAACAUGAUUCGGAAGCUGCCGUUGUAGGAGUCCUUUCCAUUGACAGGAAUGGAAUAUUGCGCUCCGUUUGUCCCGUACCACUGCGCGUUCACAAUCGGAUUCUCAACUAUUCCACCGUCGAGACCAGCGUUAACAGAAAGGAAAUUUUUCUUGUUGGUAUGACGGAAAUCACUCCUGAAACUAUGGUUGAAAUACGGUUCAAGGUACAUGUUACCGAAAGAGACACUCAACGGAUUUGUGUUGUCAGGAACCCUCAUGAGUUGGCUUACCGACGGUUGCUGCGAGCGGCCGAAAUAGAACCCACGCACAUUGGUAUUGUCAUCUAUGUCGUACCACAGCAUGGCCUGAGGAGCCCAGUUCAAAACGUGGUUGUCAUAGGUGUCAAAGCCGGUGGUCUCAUUAUGGGUAUCGGUCGGGUUGGCGCUCACACCGGCCUGAGCGCGAAGCUUGUCCUUCUGAUAGACGAAGUUGGCGCCGAUGGUUUGGUUGACAUAGCGGUUGACAAUCUCACUGGAAUACACAUCAUUAAGUACUUCCCCAUUAGGAUUAUAGACGAGAUUUGAGGCCCCGAAGUCCGAAACCACCCCGCUGUCGUAAGUGUUCUUUGUGGAAGUGCUCCGGUUCCACGAUGCCUCAUAGUUGGCCUCUACGAAGAAUCCCUUGCCGAGAGGUUCGGUAUAGGUCAAUCGUCCACUCAAUGACUGAGAGUUCUGCUCUUGGUUGUAACGCUGGUUGAUGAUGGAAUCCGAAGCGGUCUCGAACUCAUCGAAAGUCCUUGUAAGAGACUGGUUGAAUCCAUCCAUGUCAUUCCCGCUGAAGUUGUAACGCGCGUUGAAAGAGAGGGUUCUGCCAGCCUUGCCGAGUUUCUGCCGGAAGAGGAAGAAGCCAUUGGUCUUCCAGUUCUGGUUCGAGCCCGUAUUGCUCGUGAAGCCUUCGUUGGUCCGCGAUGCCACACCGUUUCUCUCGGUCAAAGUGGAAAACUCCGAGAUUUCAUUGAAAUCUCCGUUGCCGAAGCUGACCUGAGGCUGGAAAAGAAUCGAGGUGUUCUCCGAGAACUUAUGCUCAAGACGGACUCCGAAACGAUGGCCACACUGUCUCCUCCCGAGACUCAGUGAAGUUGAAAUGUUUGUGAUGAUGCAAUCUACCCGCGGCUAGACGGAAAGACCCCAUGAACCUUUACUGCAGCUUUGCAUUGAACUGUGAACCGAUUUGUGUAGGAUAGGUGGGAGGCAGAGAAGAGGCCACGCCAGUGGCCUUGGAGCCGACCUUGAAAUACCACCCUGAUUUGUUUGCGGUUCUAACCACGGACAGUGAUCCUGUCUUGGGACCGUGCAUGGUAGGCAGUUUGACUGGGGCGGUCUCCUCCUAAAGGGUAACGGAGGAGUACGAAGGUACGCUAGGUACGGUCGGAAAUCGUGCUGAUAGUGCAAUGGCAAAAGCGUGCUUGACUGCGAGAGCAACAACUCGAGCAGAUGCGAAAGCAGGUCAUAGUGAUCCGGUGGCUCUGAAUGGAAGGGCCAUCGCUCAACGGAUAAAAGGUACUCUGGGGAUAACAGGCUGAUACCGCCCAAGAGUUCAUAUCGACGGCGGUGUUUGGCACCUCGAUGUCGGCUCAUCUCAUCCUGGGGCUGUAGUCGGUCCCAAGGGUAUGGCUGUUCGCCAUUUAAAGAGGUACGUGAGCUGGGUUUAAAACGUCGUGAGACAGUUUGGUCCCUAUCUGCCGUGGGCGUUGGAAGAUUGACGGGGGCUGCUCCUAGUACGAGAGGACCGGAGUGGACGCACCUCUGGUGUACCGGUUGUCACGCCAGUGGCAUUGCCGGGUAGCUAAGUGCGGAAGAGAUAACCGCUGAAAGCAUCUAAGCGGGAAACUUGCCUGAAGAUGAGUCUUCCCGGAGGUUGAACCUCCCUCAAGAGUCGUCCGAGACCAGGACGUCGAUAGGUCAGGUGUGUAAGCGCUGUAAGGCGUUGAGCUAACUGAUACUAAUUGCUCGUGAGGCUUGAUC